UACGAGGGGGGCAAGCGUUGUUCGGCAUUAUUGGGCGUAAAGGGUGCGUCGUCGGUUUGGUAAGUCUGAUGUGAAAUCUAUGGGCUCAACUCAUAGUCUGCAUCGGAAACUGCCGGGCUUGAGUGUGGGAGAGGUGAGUGGAAUUCCUGGUGUAGCGGUGAAAUGCGUAGAGAUCCGGAGGAACACCAAAGGCGAAGGCAGUGUCCUGGGGAGUACCUGACGCUCAGGUGCGAAAGCCAGGGGAGCGAACGGG
rnacentral:rRNA from 1 species